rnacentral:lncRNA from 1 species
UGUACUUAAGUGUUUAGUGUCUUUUGAUGUGUUUUUAUUGUUUUUCUGUGCAGGUCACGAGUUGAGGUGAUGAAGUGAUUUUCUAUCAUUUUAGGUUGGUUUUGGUGCAUUAUUUGCAAGAAUAGAGAAUUGUUGAUUCACCGCGACUUGGGAUUUUGUGGGUACAUCUUCUACAAACCCUCACGAGAGCACACUCGUCCACUAGAGCUAUCUAGGGGUUUAAAGGGCUUGUUGCAUAUGCUAAAUGCAACCGUGAUCACCUACGGAAGUGGUACUAGAAGCGAGGAAGGACAUGCACGCGAGAACGAGCGAGAAACGAAGAAACG